UACGUAGGGUGCGAGCGUUGUCCGGAAUUAUUGGGCGUAAAGAGCUUGUAGGCGGUUUGUCGCGUCUGCUGUGAAAACUCAGGGCUUAACCCUGAGCCUGCAGUGGGUACGGGCAGACUAGAGUGUGGUAGGGGAGACUGGAAUUCCUGGUGUAGCGGUGGAAUGCGCAGAUAUCAGGAGGAACACCGAUGGCGAAGGCAGGUCUCUGGGCCACUACUGACGCUGAGAAGCGAAAGCGUGGGGAGCGAACAGG
rnacentral:rRNA from 1 species